rnacentral:rRNA from 1 species
AGUGAACGCUGGCGGUAGGCUUAACACAUGCAAGUCGAACGGCAGCACAGUAAGAGCUUGCUCUUACGGGUGGCGAGUGGCGGACGGGUGAGGAAUACAACGGAAUCUUCUUUUUCGUGGGGGUUAACGUAGGGGAACUUACGCUAAUAUAGCAUACGACGUACGGGUGAAGGGAGGGGAACUUUGGACCUGGCGCGAAUGAAUGAGCCGAUGUCGGAUUAGCUAGUUGGCGGGGUAAUUGCCCAGCAAGGCGACGAUCCGUAGCUGGUGUGAGUGGAUGGUCAGCCACACUGGAACUGAGACACGGUCCAGGCUCCUGCGAGAGGCACCAGAGUGGAAUAUGGGACAGUGGGCGCAAACCUUAUCCAGCCAGAGCACGUGUGAGGAAGAAGCGUUCGGGUCGUAAAGCCCUUUUUUUGGGAAUAAAAAGCUUCAGCUUAUGACCCCGCGGUACUGACGGUACCCAAAAAAGAAGCACCGGCUAACUACGUG